GAGGAUGAGAACCUCCGGGGGCAGGGAGGUUCGACUCGAGCGAAGCGAGAGAACGUUGCGCCAGCAACGGCCCGCAGGGCGAGCCACGAAGUGGCGAGUAAUCCUCUGGCACCGACCA
rnacentral:sRNA from 1 species